UCUGAAACCCACUUUCCCUCAAUCUUCCCCGAAGCUCUUCCCUCUUUCCCUCUAUCUUCCCUCUUUUCCCUCUAUCUUCCCCGAGCUCUUUCUUCCCUCUUUUCCUUUAUCUUCCUUUUUUUCCCCCACUUUUCCCUCUAUCUUCCCCAAAGCUCUCUUCUCCGAAGCCCUCUUUCUCUCUCUCUCACUACUGUGUUGCCUCUGCCAGACCCGAACGACCAUCAUCCCAUCGCCGGAGCAGUACACGCGCCAGCCCAAUCGAACCGUCGACCCCCUUGAGCUCACCACCACACGCGUUGCCCAGGGCUGUCGACCAACGGUCCGAAGCCGUCCGCCUCUUGUAUUGCUAUAUGUUUGUUGGCUCUUGUAUUUCCAUUUUUAGUUUGAUUAACUUCCAAUCUACAGAGAGAUGCUUUUGCUCGUACAACUAAGAAGAGGUGUUGGUUUCUUUCUUCUGACAACAUAAAGUCUUUUGUUUGUAAGGAUUUUAGAUGUCCAAGAAGAGCAAUAGGUGAGCAAGAAGCGAGGAACAGGUUAAUAUUUUGAUUGGUCUUGAAGCAUUGGAUCGGUAGCUCAUUACAAGAGGGAUGAUUUUAGAAAGAAAUUCAUGGCAGCCAAUCCUUACUUUGGAAAGGCAGUGACGAGGGUGAGUACAAGGACAAGAAGAAGAAAUAUAUGUUUUUUGACAAUGAAUUUAGUGUUUUAUUAUAUUUGUAAUUUUUAUUAGAGUAAAUGAUUCUUGUUUGAAUGGUUAAUUAUUUACUUUGUAAAUCUAGUUAUAUAUUUUUUAAGGUCAAGACGAUUAUAAUUUUAAUAAGUUUUGUUAUUUUAAUCUAUAAAUUUUUAGAUUAAUUUGUAUAUAAAUGUUUCAUUUAAA